ACCGGCAGCUCAAGUGGUAGCCGCUUUUAUUGGGCCUAAAGCGUCCGUAGCCGGUCUGAUAAGUCUCUGGUGAAAUCCCACAGCUUAACUGUGGGAAUUGCUGGAGAUACUAUCAUGACUCGAGGUCGGGAGAGGCUGGAGGUACUCCCAGGGUAGGGGUGAAAUCCUGUAAUCCUGGGAGGACCACCUGUGGCGAAGGCGUCCAGCUGGAACGAACCUGACGGUGAGGGACGAAAGCCAGGGGCGCGAACCG
rnacentral:rRNA from 1 species